UCCCUGGUAGUCCAGUAGUUAGGGCUCUGCACUGCCACUUCAGGGGAUAUGGGUUCAAUUCCUGAUCAGGGAA
rnacentral:tRNA from 1 species